AGCUAAAGUUCUCUCUCCCUCUCCCUCUCCCUCUCCCACAGCCUCCAGUUACGACGCCGGAGCAAGAUCCAUGGAGUGGCGUCCGUUGAAAGAGAUCGAGGCGAACGUCCAGAUGCAGAACCCUAAUGACGAAGCCAUGUUCGACGAAGCAACCAUGGUCGAUGAUGAUGAAGUAAUGGGCAAAUCUAAAGCUACACUCCAACCAAAACCAAGUUGGUUCGAUGAUGAUGAUGACUGCAUUGGCCAGAAUCGUAACAGUAUGCUUUUGAUUUUUGUUUUAGUAUUAAAUCCUCAUUUUCUCCCUAAUGAAUAUGAAUAUGA